UACGUAGGCAGCGAGCGUUGUUCGGAAUUACUGGGCGUAAAGCGCGUGUAGGCGGCUCUGCAAGUCGGGUGUGAAAUCCCAUGGCUCAACUAUGGAAGUGCACUCGAAACUGCAGGGCUAGAGUCCUGGAGAGGAAGGUGGAAUGCUUGGUGUAGAGGUGAAAUUCGUAGAUAUCAAGCGGAACACCGGUGGCGAAGGCGGCCUUCUGGACAGUGACUGACGCUGAGACGCGAAAAGCGUGGGGAGCAAACAGG
rnacentral:rRNA from 1 species